GGCCUCCAAUUAUGGGCAAUGAGUGCUUUGAUUCAGAUAUCUUGGCUGCUUUUGAUAUGGCAAUUCAUGAUGGCGUGGACGUGCUUUCGGUAUCACUUGGAGGAGAUGCUGGAGCGUAUGUUAAUGACAGUGUUGCUAUUGGUUCAUUUCAUGCGGUUAAGCAUGGCAUUGUUGUAGUCACCUCUGCUGGUAACUCUGGUCCUGGUCCUGGGUAUGUCAAUGACAGUGUUGCUAUUGGUUCAUUUCAUGCUGUUAAGCAUGGCAUUGUUGUAGUCACCUCUGCUGGUAACUCUGGUCCUGGUCCUGGUACAGUAUCAAAUGUUGCACCUUGGCUCAUAACCGUUGGAGCGAGCACUAUGGAUCGUCAGUUUCCCAGCUAUAUCAUCCUAGGAAACCAAAAGCAGUACAAAG
rnacentral:lncRNA from 1 species